ACGCCUUCCACUUAUAGGAACUGCCCAUAUACCUUUAGUAUUACAUAUAUGCUUGUGAUAAAACAUUAAAUGUUAUUCUAUC